rnacentral:lncRNA from 1 species
ACGGGGUGGGGAGGGAGCGCUGAGGGGCCGGCACAGGGCGGGGGAGGAGGAGGAGGAGGAGGAGGAGGAGAAGUUCAGGAGAAGGAAGAGAAAUUCAGGAGAAGGAGAAGCUCAGGAGGAGGAGGAGAAGUUCAGGAGGAGAAGGAGAAGUUCAGGAGGAGAAGUUCAGGAGGAGAAGUUCAGGAGGAGGAGGAGAAGCUCAGGAGGAGAAGGAGAAGCUCAGGAGGAGAAGGAGAAGCUCAGGAGGAGGAGGAGGAGUUCAGGAGGAGAAGGAGAAGUUCAGGAGGAGAAGGAGAAGUUGCCGGGGCCAUGGGGUGCCCAGAGGGGCCCGAGGAGAGCCGGAGGGAACCCGGAGCCCCGCAAUCGCAGCCCAGGCUGGGGGGCAGCACCAGGAGCCCGGCAGGGCCCGAACGGCUCCUCCGGGAGAGCCGCAGCUCCAUCCCCAUCGCGCCCUCCCACCCAGCCCGGCCCAGCUCCGGGGGACAUUCCCGGGGGGACACGGGACCGGCUCCAUCCCCGGGCGGUCCCUGCGGGCCAGGACCUGGGGGGCAGCGCUGGUCCUUCCCCCGGCCGCGGCUCCGGGGGAUGCUCCGAACGGACAGGGGCACUUUGGAGGGGUCGGAAGCCCCAAAUGCGCCCUGGGUGUGGGGGUGCAGGGCAGAGACCCCCAAUAAUGCGGGAAAGGAGGAGGGGGUGCUGCUGCCGGGGGGUUCCGCGCCCAUCGCCGCCUCACCUGCGGGCUCUGCCGCUCCCAGCCCCUCCUGCUUUGUGAUCAAACAAAUAAAUCUGCCCUUGCUUUCCUAAAAAUAGCCGUUGCCCUUUCUCCCCUGCCUGCCUCCCGCCAGCUCAGGCUGCCUUAGAGACAGAAGGAGCCCUGCAGUCACUAAGGCCGGCAAACAGCCCCCGGUGCGGCGCUUGUUCUAGCGGGAACAUGUGGGGGCAGAAGCCACCUGCUUGCCAGGAGCCCACGUCCCCGCGUCCCUGCUGCUGCUCGGGGCUCCUCCUGCCCGCCUCUGGCCGCGGGGGAUGGUUUGGGAUUCAACUGGGAAUAUUCCUUGUGCGGCUGCCAGCGCCUUCCCUGCAGGAUGCAGAGCGGGACGUGGAGACCCUGAGGGUGCCGCGGGUGCUGCCUUCAGCUCCUGCUCCUCUGAACCCCCAUCCCUGCCCCUCUGCACCCCCAUCCCUGCCCCUCUGCAUCCCCAUCCCUGCCCUUCUUCAUCCCCAUCCCUGUCCCUCUGCACCCCCAUCCCUGCCCCUCUGCAUCCCCAUCCCUGCCCCCCUGCACCCCCAUCCCUGCCCCUCUGCACCCCCAUCCCUGCCCCUCUGCACCCCCAUCCCUGCCCCUCUGCACCCCCAUCCCUGCCCCUCUGCACCCCCAUCUCUGCCCCUCUGC